CUCUAAUAGGGCUGAGGGUAAUAAGUAAAAAUUGAACACCUUGUUCCUUAACAUCAAAGAAUAUCAUUCCUUUGUUUCCUGGGUGGUAGAAAAAAAAAUCAACAUCUUUUGAAGUAUGCAGAUGAAAGUGCUAGGAUGCGAUGUCUACAUGGAAACACUAUGCAUUUGGGGUUCCUUCAUGGGCCCUGUAAAAGAUCAUUCAGAAUCAUGCUCAAGAAGAAUUUUAUUAAGAAGGCUUCUCACGCACUUAUUUUAGCCUAUACUUUUAAUCCUGGAGAGGCUGAUACCUGCAGGCUUGCCUAACUGAACACAAUGUCUACGCUGUGAUCCCACCACAGUGUGCUGUUGUGCUCCUGAUACAAAUGGUGAGUAAACAGUAUUGCUUUGACAAGAUCUGCACAAUAAAUCCCUCUGAAAAACUGCAGCAGCUUUGAACCCAAUAAUAAACUGUGUGUUUUUCAGCUCUCAAGGGGGACAGUGUCUACAAAUGGCAUCAAAUUCAAAUCUAGAUAACCGCAUGAAAUGGAAACCCAGGAUGUAAACAGCCAAAGAACUUCUGAUAUCUGACCUGUGAGAAAAGGAUGCG
rnacentral:lncRNA from 1 species